GGCUGGGGGUGAAGGAGCAGGCUGGGGGUUGGGGUGUAGGGUCUGGCCAGGAGCUAGAUUGAGGGACGGGGACUCAAGGUUGGGGCAGGAGGCUUGGGUGUGGAGCGCUUACCUGGGCAGCUCCCAUUUGGUGCGGGGGUGUAUGUGAGAAUGUGAGAUUGG